CCUGGGAGGCAGAGUUUGCAGUGACCCAAGAUGGUGCCACUGCACUCUAGAGCAAGACUUUGUCUCAAAGAAAAGAGAGGAAAAGAAAAAGAAAUGAUGUCACCCUUUAGCUUAAAGUUUAAUUCUAUAUAGCGCUAAGUGCAUGACAUAUCAGGGAGGAAAAAAUGUAUAAUUUACUUAAAUCCUGAUUAAACGAAAUGAGUGAAAUGCAUAGGUGUAUUCUGUAAGCGGUUAUCCUGUUCACACCAUUGAAUUACUAGUUAAUUCUAAGGGAUGUAUAGAUCCCUUUGAAUUAAGAAAGAGAAUGAGAACAACAGAAAACCAGGAAAAAGACAUAUUCAAGAAAGAGUAGAAGGCUUGCAACUGCCCGCCUGAAGAAGUGAAAUCUAAGGAGUCAUUAAAAAAAGAUUAAUAUUAUUAAUAAAAUGUAAUACAUUCAUAUAGAGUUUUAAGGUGUAUAAUUUUUUUACAUAUAUCCUCUCAUUAGACCUUCACAGAAACCCUACGUGGUAAGCAUUAUUCUCUCAAGUUUGCAUAUGAAGAAAUGGACUUUAGUCCUGUGAUAGUGUCUUUUUGACCUGUGCACCUACCAAAUUUCAUUGUAAAUGAUUUAGAGAAAUAUGCCAACCUGAAAAAUUUAUCAGCUACCAUUUUAUUUCAAGGUGUCAGACUGUACCCCUCAUAAACUUCAUACCAUUCGGUGGUAGCUUUCCAAUUAGGGUCAGAAUCAGUCAAUGUUACCCUGGAGCUGACAGAAAACAAAACGAUUUUCUUUGAAAUGAGAAGUUUGCUCUUUGUUCAUGUGGGCAAUAAUGUUGGCAUGACCAUGAUGAUGAAAUAUGCAUUCAGCUUAAAGUCUGCACAAAACAAAGGAUGCUAAACAUUCUAAUCCAGAUGUCUGUUUCCCUCUCUGCUUUGUAGUGUGUAUCCAUGCCAAAUAGAUACGGAGCUGGAAGGGGCAUGACUCGAAAUGCUCUGGGUUGAUUACAGGAAAACCUUUGGAGUCAUUUUCUUUGGAGUGGGAGUUGGGAUGGUUUGCUGCAGACACCCAGAUGUUUGAUGCUAUGUCCUUUUAUCUUCACCUGCAUGAGGCCGCUUGAGAUUUCUGUGAUUUUUGACACAUUUAAAGAACAAGGAACGGGACCAAGAUUUUCUGAAUGUUACAUUAUCUGACUUGGGUAUUGGAACAAGGACCAUAGACAUGAGCAGUCAGAACAACUUGACAGGCAAGUGAAGGUCAUUAGAAAUGGCCCCACCGUGGAGGGAGUGGGGAAGACCCGCGUCCCUCGAUUUGCAAACAGAAAUAAAUAGACCACUCUGUAGGGCCCCAAGUAACAGUUUUCCAGUGUUUUGCCACUUUCUGGUUCCAAAGAGCAAACGAUAAAUCAACAGACAGGGGUUCUCAGCCUCCUCGUCAGAGGGCCUCCAUCAGACUGUGGCCUUCCCUCAGGUUAGAGAAGAUGGAGAAAUCUGAGGUUGUGGUGACUCUGGUGUUACUCAGGUGUAGUUUCCAUUGAAAACAGGAGACAGAGGGGGCUAGGGACAUCUGGCUGGGCUUUUCUGUUCUAUCUCUUACUGUACGAGAGGGUUGACCUGUUCCUAGCCUUGCUUCCAGCCUACUGUUUCCUCCCUGCGAUAAACUGGUUCGGUUAGUGUAGAGAGGAAAGGCUGUGGGCCACAUGGUAACUGAGACGAAAGGGAGCUAGGUGGUUGUGCCUCAUCAGGGUGCUUUGCUAAUAGGUGAUUCUGGUAGCAUGACAUCACCAUCUGGGGAUAACACAGAUGUGGAGGUAAAACUGUAUUCAAGAUAAUGCUGUAACUGCAAGGAGACAAGAAACAUCAACAAAUAAUAGAAGCAAGAGGUUGGAAAUGUCCCUUAUCUGUGAAACUAAACACAGAAAGAAAAACUGAGUAUAUGCUGCCAGAUGGCUAAAGAGAAGAUUAAGGGAUGUGUCUCUGAUGAAUAAGGAGCUGUGAUCUAUUUCUUCAUUUUAUAUAUUUUUAUUUUUUGAAAUUGAUAAUGAGUUAGAAAAACCUUGGAGAUUAAGUUGACCUAGAAGCAAAGGAGAACAUUAUUGUGUUUUUUUCUAGUCAUUUCCCCCAACACUGAAGGUCAAAGAGACAAAUUCUUUUUCUUUUCUUCUUUUCAUUCAUAUACUUUCCCCUUUUGGCUUUAAAUUUUGUCCUUGAAAAUAAAAUGGCUUUAGCUAAUACAGGAUUCUAAUCACAUUGUAAGACUAUCAUGAUACAACUGUAACCUUUGACAGUGCAAAUCUGCAAGAAGUGGCAAGAUGCAGUGAUUAAUAUUUACUGUGCAGGUACUUUAAAACUCAUUUGCCCUGAAAUAACCAAGAGAAAGUUCUGUAUGAUAGAACUUUAUCUAAACUCUCACUUACCUUGUAACAUCUUUAAAUUCUUGCUAGUACAAUCUAGAAUAAAGGAAGUAAAGUCUAGAAUAAAAAAAGUCAAGUAAAGACCCUCAUAAAAAAUAUAAAUCCUGGCUUAUGUAAACUCAAUGUAUCUAUCCAAUUACCAUAAUAACAGAAAAAAACCCAAAAGCUAAAAUAAGGGGUGAUUGUUUGUAUUUCCAUUGAUUUUUCAGAUUUGCUGCAGGAUUGUUUUAACCGAAUAUUCAUCAUAAUUUACUUCUCCAUUUUUUUUCUGCACACAAAGUUUAGGGAUAGACUUAGCAAACAAAACAAGUAUAUAUAAUUACCCAUUUGUUGAAUCAACAUGUCUCUUAUAACUCUGUUCUUUGACUAGUUAGGU